GAAGGUUUUAACAGCUUUUUCACCACAUCUCUCCUCCUUCUGAAGUAUUAAUUUUGACUACUGCCAGAAACUGUGUGCUGGCUUUAUCAGACUGACUACAUCACGGCUUACAUUAAUUUCAGGACAGAGAAUUUCAGCAAUAUUUGAACUCCUUGAAACUGAGUAUUUUCUCUGCACCAAUCAA